CUUCACCGAGCCGAGCCACAGGGGGCGUUCCUCGGGGCGGUCCUGGCCGUAGGUGGCGAGCAGCGCCUGGGCCUC
rfam:Streptomyces caelestis strain NRRL B-24567 P188contig23.1, whole genome shotgun sequence.